GUAGGUAUAGUUUCAAUUAAAACACUAGAUUGUGAUUCUAGAUAUAGAGGUUAAAAUCCCCUUACCCACC
rnacentral:tRNA from 1 species